rnacentral:rRNA from 1 species
AUACGUAGGUGGCAAGCGUUGUCCGGAAUUAUUGGGCGUAAAGCGCGCGCAGGCGGUCCUUUAAGUCUGAUGUGAAAGCCCACGGCUCAACCGUGGAGGGUCAUUGGAAACUGGAGGACUUGAGUGCAGAAGAGGAAAGUGGAAUUCCAAGUGUAGCGGUGAAAUGCGUAGAGAUUUGGAGGAACACCAGUGGCGAAGGCGACUUUCUGGUCUGUAACUGACGCUGAGGCGCGAAAGCGUGGGGAGCAAACAGGAUUAGAUCCCCUGGUAGUCCACGCCGUAAACGAUGAGUGCUAAGUGUUAGGGGGUUUCCGCCCCUUAGUGCUGCAGCUAACGCAUUAAGCACUCCGCCUGGGGAGUACGGUCGCAAGACUGAAACUCAAAUGAAUUGACGGGG